CUGCCCCUUCACUCAUUCGGGAAGCCUUCUGUUGUUGCUCCUGAGGUGCCGGCUGCGGUGACAGACAGAGCAAAACUCCUCUCUCUGUCUAUUUCUUCAAAGGCCCGAGUCUGAGCUACGACAGAUUCCCCUGUGGCUCGACCCGCAACCUCCCAUCCUGCCAGACCAGACCCCUUGUCCAAAAACCUCCACUGGAGGAGCUCUUUCACCUGACCCGGAAAGGAAACACCAGCCCUGCCUCAGCCUCACACCCACCACCACCACCACCACCACCACAACCAUCCCCCCCCGCCCCACUCUCCUCCGGACCCAGAUACCUAACAGAGAGAACAAAAAUCCAAAAAUCCUGCUGCUCUCCUUCUACCGCCUCCACUUUAGAAGAGUCGGUCUCCCCCGAACACCUCAGACUCUGUGACUUCCCGCGGCCUCCCUUUCCCCGUCCCCAUGCUCUCCCCGGAUGGGCCCCAUCUUACACUCGAACGACAGCUCCACCGCUCGGGGCAGCUAGACACGAUGUCCCAAAGUGGCCCAGACAGUAGCCUGGUCGAUUCCAAAGGACCCACACACGCAGUCGGCCAUAAACGUGGUGUGGAGAUCGUGGACGUUCGCGGGCCUCUGAUGAAAUCGCUGCUCCGGGGACCCCAGCGUCUAGGACCCGUCUUCUCCAUGUUCUUCACACCGUUGCUCCUGGGCCGGUUAUUCUCUUCCCUCUCGCUGACCUUAACGUUUUGUCUCUGCCAUUGAAUUUUUUUUUUAAAGAUUUUAUUUUUUCCUUUUUCUCCCCAAAGCCCCCCGGUACAUAGUUGUGUAUUCUUCGUUGUGGGUUCUUCUAGUUGUGGCAUGUGGGACGCUGCCUCAGCGUGGUCUGAUGAACAGUGCCAUGUCCGCGCCCAGGAUUCGAACCCACGAAACACUGGGCCGCCUGCAGCGGAGCGCGCGAACUUAACCACUCGGCCACGGGGCCAGCCCCCUCUGCCAUUGAAUUUUGACUGUGCGAAUGUGACUUGCCGCUGUAGGGCUGCGUGGAUCUCUCAGGCAUCCUGCUGUGCCAUGCGGGGGGGAAUCCUUGGUGGGUGGGUCGAUAGACGUCCCUUUGGUUGUCCCCUGGAGGGGAGAGACAGAGGGGACGACUCAAUCCACCACGAACGCUGAUGUCGCUCCGAUAAACCUGUAGCGGUGAUUCUAGUUUAUGGCCCGUGUCCUGAAAAGAACUUCCCGAAGGGCCAGCCCGGCGGCACAGCAGUUAUGUUCGCACGUUCCAUUUUGUCGGCCAGGGGUUCGCCGGUUCGGAUCCGGGGUGCGGACGUGGCGCCGCUUGGUGAGCCAUGCUGUGGUCGGCGUCCCGCCUAUCAACGGGAGGAGGAUGGGCACGGAUGUUAGCUCGGGACCACUCUCCCGGGGCAAAAAGAGGAGAAUUGGCAGCAGGUGUCAGCUCGGGGCUCGUCUUCCUCGAAAAAUAAAUUAAUUAAAUAAAUAGAAACAACUUCCCAAACCUCUCUGAUAACUUGAAGCUUUGAAGUUUUGCGAGGUGAAAUCAGGUGAUAAAAAAGUCCACGGACGGGGGCAGCCCCGUGGCCGAGUGGUUAAGUUCACACGCUCCCCUUCGGCGGCCCAGGGUUUUGCCCGUUCAGAUCCCGGGCACGGACACGGCACCGCUCGUCGGGCCGUGUGGAGGCGGCGUCCCGCAUGCCACCACUAGAACGGCCCUCAACUAAGAUAGACAACUAUGUCAUGGGGGGGAUUUGGGGAGAAAAAUCGGGAGGGGGGGAAAAAAACAAAAACGGAAGAUUGGCAAGAGUCGUUAGCUCGGGUGCCAAACUUAAGACAAAAACAAUUUCCCUGACGAUGUAGAUCAUUUCCUAGUAAGAUAGAACCUGAGACGUGAGUGGCUAAAUAGAAGUUUAUCUACUUUGGGUUUGUGAGGAUACGGAAACGAAAAGACGUUUGGGUCUAUCGAGGAACACGUCUCGUGCUUUAUUAAAAGCUUUGACAGGGGACGGCGGCCCGGCGGCAUAGUGGUUAAGCUCCUGCACUCAGCUUCGGCAGCCUGGGGUCCUCGGGUUCAGAUCCCGGGCGUGGACCUCCACCGCUCCUCACACCGGGCUGUGGCGGCAUCCCGUCCGCAAGAUCAAGGAAGUGGGGCGCAGGUGUUACCUCGGGCCCGCUCUCCCUCAAGCAGAAAGAAGAGGAAGAUUGGCAACAGGCGUUAACUCUGUGAGGGCCGAUCUUCCUCACCCAAAAACUAAAGUGAGAUGAAAUCAAAUAAAGCGAAGGAAGAGAUAAACCUAUGAAAUCCCAUGUUUCUAAAAGUGGCCAAGUGUUUAGAAAUUGGCCAAGCGACAGACUGCUCAUGGGAAGGACAGUUCCUAAUUGCUGACUUCUUAGUUUUCACCAAAAUUAAGGUUCGUGAGGGUUAAAAAUUCUACUUAACGAAUGCGAUGAAAGCCACUAGGCCGGCCCAGUGGCGCGCUGGUUAAGUGUGCCUGUUCCACUUCGCCGGCCCGGGGUUCGCCGGUUCGGAUCCCGGGGGUGGACGUGGCACCGCUGGGCGAGCCACGUGGUGGUAGGCGUCCCACAUAUGAAAUAGAGGAAGAUGGGCACGGAGGUUAGCUCAGGGCCAGCCUUCCUCGGCAAAAAGAGGAGGAUUGGCAGCAGUUAGCUCAGGGCUCAUCGUCCUCAAAACAAAACAACACAAAACAAAACAAAAAGCCACUAAAAGUGAAUAUGGGAAACAUCUUUGUGUUCAAGGAAAGUGAGAUGGCUGCCUUCAGGCAAGAGGGCCUAAAAAGUAAAGAUCGUUUUGUCUGUGAAAAGGUGAUCACGGGGAAAAAAAUCUGAGAAAAAGGUCUGUUCGUGGUCAAGUGGCCUAAAAUUGGAACGAGUGGACAGAUAGAAAUGGCGAGCGAUAGGAUCUAUUGGAGUCUAUGAGGAAGCCAUUGGGUGUCGGCCUAAUUCGGCCUGACAGUGUUUUUCCAAAAGGGCCUGACGUGGCCGUCGAGCACGCAUCGCAUCGUAGAUCUGCUUUAAACAUUUCCUACGGCAAGAACCAAUGCCCUUAAGGGAAAGGAGCAGCUUCCCCGUGCUCGGGCCUUUCCUUAAGGAGAGGCAUCUUUCCUUAGGCUAGGAACGGAUGGUUGCGCUCACCUUUGACCAUCCGGCUCACCUGUGACCACCCAGGCCCAGACAACAGACCUGCCACCCAGCAGUGUCUGUCGAUCGCUGUGCUGACAGAGCAGUGUCGCGACUAUCGUCCAAGGGACCUUUCGAUCCUAUGUGAAACGUCCUCUCUGGGGGUCUAGAAGCACUCUGUACACCCCACUUCCCGGGCGCCCUUUCUUCCUUCGGGAAGAAAGGCCCCGGGCCACAGUCCUCACAUCUUAGGUCAGAAUAAACUCACCCCGAUUUUCACGGAUAGAUUGGUUCCGGAUUAUUUCCAUCGACAGAAUGGAAUCAAGUCAAUGAGUUUCAAGAUCGGAGGGAAGCUGAUGCAAAAUCAGAAUUGGUUUUUCUCGCUCUCGAAAGGAUACUUUUCUCUAACUUCUAGUCUCCUCCUGGUAAAGACAUUGGAAAAGGUUUCUCUUGACCUCUGAGGGAAUCGACACCAAAGACAGAGAUCCUCCAUUUUGUCAGAAUGAUUUCCUAGGCCCUCUAACGGAGGAGGCCUCCCUCGGACGGGAGCUCAGCUUUUGUUUUGCAACAGUUUUCCUCUCUCUGCUUGCCUUUAACAUCUCCUUUCCCGUUCUUCUUUUUUGGAAGGGAAAUACGUGCACCGCUGGGGGGGGGGGGGGAAAGAAUUUUCUAAAUGACCAAAGAAGAUCUACGACUGUUGUUAUUUUGGUUUCACCGGAGCAGUUCCACGUCCACAUUUACCCCAUUUUAAACACCCACACACACUCACAGCACGGCGCUGUGAGGAUGUCCCGGGGAACUCGAUUUGUGGAGGGAAUGGCUGUGAGGUCUCUGCCCCCAACCCGCACCAUUUGGGUGCUUCUGCUUGUUGAUGAGGACGGGAAGCCCUGCUGAAAUCCAUAUUCUUAUCACCACACGUGAAUCUGCACCCAUGCUCCCCCCGUGUGUCGUCUUUGGGCUUUGCUGUGGCCCCGUGCGGAGGGAGACCCGUUUUGUCUUGUAAACUUUUCAGCGGCCAAGCGGCUCGGUCCUUUCCUCUACGACUUGUGGGCUCUGUCUGUCCGUCUGCCUUAGAAAGACCCUCUGGGCCGGAAGUGACAGGCUGCACACAAUUCCUGACAGACUGCGGACAAUUCCUCCGUCGUCACGGUCCUUCUCUGAUGACGUGCGUGGUUUCGGUUUGACAGCGACCCCCACCCCCCACCCCGCCCUGAUUUUCUAAGUCCUCCCGGGACCCGGGAAGUGCUCGGGCCGCUCAGGGAAUCGGGGGCCGGCAGCCCCGGCCUGCCCCGUGGCAUCUCCGGGGACUUUUCCACCCUCUGUCCGCGUCAGCCAGCCGGCAGCCCCGGCCCGGCCCAGGAGUCACGUGGGGAGUCUGUCCCCUUCCUGGCAAGCCCACCCACCCCACCCCCCUCCCCGCCGAUUUUCCAAGACCUCCUUCUGCGCCCAGGGUUGCCCUGUGCUGCCUGGGAGCUCCGAGGUGGACACCCUGGGGCCUCGCGUGGUGACCUCCCGGCCGCCCCAAGCGGGCCCAGAGAGAAAGAGAGAGAGAGACAGAGUCAGAGACAGAGAGACAGAGAGACAGAGACAGAGGUAGACAGAGAGAGACCUGACCCGGCGGUGGGCUCAGGCUGUGCACUCUCGCUGGCCGGUGACCCGGUUCCCUCCCGCUGACCCCUCCGCGCCGGUUGUUGGGCGCCAUCUGGCGGCCGCUUUUACAGAGUGGCCCUCCUCCGGAGCCCCGGCGACAUGAGCAAGGGAUGGGACUUGCAGGACGUCUGUGUGGUUUCCAGUGUGGGUCUGUGUGGAACAGAGCUGCUAAGAACAUUCAUGCCCCGGAUUCUGUGUGAAUGAACAGGAACGUGGCCGCAGCCCCCACCCCGCCCCCCGCCCCAGCCCCCGGGAGUGGCGGGAGUGGUGCCCUCCAGACCACCCUCGGGUUGGAUGCCUCCCUCCCUGGAAGGACUCACGGGACUCCACAGAAGCUGACUUCCUGGAGGUCCAGCGGAGACCCCCAAGGCCCAAGGCCCCCCCCCACCACCACAGAUCACUGUGGAAGCCUUAACAACCCAAGGCUCCAGCUACAUACAGACGCUCUUAGGAGGCAAGAUACACCAAGGGCUUAUGUAGGUUGCCACUUUCGGUGGUUGUUUCCGCGGCGUGUGAGUUUUGGAACCCGCCACGCCAUUUUUCACAGAGGCCAUACUGUUUCCCUUCACCACCAGUGAGGCGUGAGUGACUGACUUGGCUUCUCCGCGACCUCACUAGCAGUUUGAUCCUGUUCCUGUAUUUGGAAGAAGCCAGUCUCACCCAUGUGUCCCCACAAUGUCUCCCUCUAAUUUUCUCACUUGCUUUUCCAGGGAACAGCUCACAUCUUUUCAUGCGCUUAUUGGUCAUCCAUGCGUACCUCCUCCUCCCCAGGUGAAAGUGCCUGCUCUGUCUAUUGGCCUUCCAUUGUAUUUGUAUUUUUCAGUGUUGAUUUCCCCCGGGUCUCCACUCCAUUGUGGGGUUUUUUUUCUGUUUUUUUGUUUUUUUUUUUGCUUAAAGAUUGCCACCUGAGCUAAGCCUCUGUUUCCCAUCUUUGUCAGUUUCAGAGGGUAGAUUUCUCAGUCUUGCUCUUUCCCAAGUUCUGCACGCCCUUGUGUGUGUGUGUGUUUUUUUUUUUUUUUGCUCAAAUAUUGAACCUAAGCUAGCAUCUGUUGCCCAUCUUCGUCAGUUUGAGAGGGUAGGUUUCUCAGUGUUGCUUUUUCCCCAGGUCUCCAAGUCCCUCAGUGUGUGUGUGUGAGUGUGUGUGUUUUCUUUGCAAGAUUGGCACUUGAGCUAACGUGUGUUGCCCAUCUUUGUCAGUUUCAGAGGCUAGAUUUUUCAGUAUCGCUCUUUCCCAAGGUCUCUACUCCCUUGCUCUUUUCUUUUUUUUUUUUUGGCUUAAAGAUUGUCACCUGAGCUAGGCUCUGUUGCCCUGCUUCCUCCGUUUCAGAGGGUACCUUUUUUCAUGGUUGCUUUUUCACCGGGUCUCCUCGCCAUUGUAUUUUUUUAUUUUUUAUUAUUUUUGCUUAACGAUUGCCACCUGAGCUAGCCUCUGUUGCCCAUCUUCUUCAGUUUCAGAUGGUAGAUUUCUCAGUGUUGCUUUUUCGCAAGCUCUCCACGCCCUGGUGUCUUUUUAUUUUCUGCUUAAAGGUUGCAACCUGAGCUAGCCUCUGUUACCCAUGUUCCUCAGUUUCAGAGGGUAGAUUUCUCCGUGCUGCUUUUCCCCCAGGUCUCCACGCCCCUGUGUGUUUCUUUUGCUUAACGAUUGCCACCUGAGCUAGCCUCUGUUGCCCAUGUUCGUCAGUUUCAGAGGGUGGAUUUCUCCGUGCUGCUUUUUACCCGGUUCCGCACGCCCUUGUGUGUGUGUGUUUUUUUUUUUUUGCUCAAAUAUUGAACCUAAGCUAGCGUCUGUUGCCCAUCUUCGUCAGUUUGAGAGGGUAGAAUUCUCAGUGUUGCUUUUUCCCCAGGCCUCCACGCCCUUAGUUUUCCUUUUGCUUAAAGAUUGCCACCUGAGCUAGCCUCUGUUGCGCUUCUUUCUCAGUUUCCUCUCAGAAGUGCCAGAAGCAUGUGCCGGACAGGCCGGAACCAUCUCCCGGACAGACCGGAACCACAGGAAACACUCGCCGGAACCACCUGCUUGACUCACCGGUCCCACCUGCCGGACACGCCAAAAUCACCUGCCCUCUACACCAGAAUUACAUGGCGGACAAGUUGGAAUCACAUGAAAGGCAUGCCGACACAACCUCUCAGACGUGGAGAACCUCGUGCCGGACACCCCAGAACCACCUGUAGGACACACCGGAACCACCUGCCGGACACGCCGGAACCACUGGAUCGACUCAACAGAACCACCGCCGGACAUGCAAAAUCACCUGCCGGCUACGCCAGAAACACUUGGCGAACACUCCGGAAUCACCUGCCGGGCAUGCCGGAACCACCUCUCAGACAUGUCAGAACCACAUGCCAAUGACACCAGAAGCACCUGCCGAGCACGCCGGAACCACCUGCUCGACUCGCCAGAACCACCUGCCGGACCCGCCAAAAUCACCUGCCGGCUACGCCACAACCAGCUGGUGAACACUUUGGAAUCACCUGCCGGGCUUGCUGGAACCACCUGCCGGUCACGCCAACAUUACCGGCCAGCUACGCCAGAACCACUUGGUGGACAUUCCGGAAACGCCUGUCUGUCCGGCCGGAACCACCUCUCAGACGUGCCAUAACCAUGUGCCUGAGAUGCCGGAAUCACACUCCAAACAGACCGAGACCACCUGCCAGACACGCGUGAACCACCUGACGAGCACCCCGGAACCACCUGCUUGACUCACCGGAACCACCUGCCUGACACGCCAAAAUCACCUGCCAGCUACGCCACAACCAGUUGGUGAACACUUCGGAAUCACCUGCAGCGCUUGCUGGAACCACCUGCUGGUCACGCCAAAAUCACCAGCCGGGUACGCCAGAAUCACCUGGCGGACACUCCGGAAUCACCUGCCGCGCAUGCCGGAAGCACCUCUCAGACGUGCUGGAAGCACUUGCCGGACACGCCGGAAACACAUACCGGACAGACUGGAACCAUCUGCCAGACAUGCCGGAACCACCUGCCGAGCACGCUGGAGCCACCUGCUCGAUUUGCCGGAACUACCUGCCAGACAGGCCAAAAUCAACAGCUGGCUAUGCUAGAACCACCUGGCGGACAGUCCGGAAUCACCUGCCGCACAUGCCGGAACCACCUGCCGGACGUGCCCCAACCACCGGCUCGACCCGCCGGAACCACCGCCGGACAUGCAAAAUCACCUGCCGGCUAUGCCAGAACCACUUGGCGAACACUCCGGAAUCACCUGAUGGGCAUGCCGGAACCACCUCUCAGACAUGCCAGAAACACGUGCCAAUGACACCGGAAGCACCUGCCGAGCACGCCGGAACCACCUGCUCGAGUCGCAGGACACUCAUGCCGGACACGCCAAAAGGAACUGCCGGCUACACCAGAACCACUUACACGACUCUCCAGAAUCACCUGCCUGGCAUGACAGAACCACCACUCAGAAGUGCCAGAAGCACGUGCCCGACAUGCCGGAACGACCUAUCAGACAGUACGGAACCACCUGCCAGACAUGCCCAAAUCACCUGCGGGCUACGCCAGAACCACUUGGCGGACACUCUGGAAUCACCUGCCGGGCAUGCGGGAACCACCUCUCAGACACGCCGGUACCACCUGCCAAACACACCACAGCCACCUGCUCGACUCGCCGUAACCACCUGCUGGACAGACUGGAAUCACCUUUUGGACAUGCCGGAACCACCUGUGAGCUGUGCCAGAAACACGUGCCAGAGACGCCGGAAGCACCUGCCGAGCACGUCGGAACCACCUGCUCAACUCGCCUGAACAAGCUGCCGGACAUGCCAAAAUCACCUGCCGGCUACGCCAAAACCACUUGGUGGACUCUCUGGAAUCACCUGCCGGGCGUGAUAGAACCACCUCUCAGACGUGCCGAAACCACGUGCCAGACACGCCAGAACCACCUGCCGGACCUGCCUGAACCAACUGUCGAGCACGCCAGAACCACAUGCUCGACUCGCUGCAACCACAUGGCGGACAUGGCAAAAUCACCUGCCG
rnacentral:lncRNA from 1 species